CCUACGGGGCGCAGCAGUGAGGAAUAUUGGUCAAUGGACGGAAGUCUGAACCAGCCAUGCCGCGUGCAGGAAGACGGCUCUAUGAGUUGUAAACUGCUUUUGUACAAGGGUAAACCUGAAUACGUGUAUUCAGCUGAAAGUACUGUACGAAUAAGGAUCGGCUAACUCCGUGCCAGCAGCCGCGGUAAUACGGAGGAUCCAAGCGUUAUCCGGAUUUAUUGGGUUUAAAGGGUGCGUAGGCGGAUUGAUAAGUUAGAGGUGAAAUGUCCGAGCUUAACUCGGGAACUGCCUCUAAUACUGUUGGUCUAGAGAGUAGAUGCGGUAGGCGGAAUGUAUGGUGUAGCGGUGAAAUGCUUAGAGAUCAUACAGAACACCGAUUGCGAAGGCAGCUUACCAAUCUAUAUCUGACGUUGAGGCACGAAAGCGUGGGGAGCAAACAGGAUUAGAUACCCGGGUAGUC
rnacentral:rRNA from 1 species